rnacentral:rRNA from 1 species
UGGGGAAUAUUGCACAAUGGGCGCAAGCCUGAUGCAGCCAUGCCGCGUGUAUGAAGAAGGCCUUCGGGUUGUAAAGUACUUUCAGCGGGGAGGAAGGGAGUAAAGUUAAUACCUUUGCUCAUUGACGUUACCCGCAGAAGAAGCACCGGCUAACUCCGUGCCAGCAGCCGCGGUAAUACGGAGGGUGCAAGCGUUAAUCGGAAUUACUGGGCGUAAAGCGCACGCAGGCGGUCUGUCAAGUCGGAUGUGAAAUCCCCGGGCUCAACCUGGGAUCUGCAUUCGAAACUGGCAGGCUAGAGUCUUGUAGAGGGGGGUAGAAUUCCAGGUGUAGCGGUGAAAUGCGUAGAGAUCUGGAGGAAUACCGGUGGCGAAGGCGGCCCCCUGGACAAAGACUGACGCUCAGGUGCGAAAGCGUGGGGAGCAAACAGG